rnacentral:rRNA from 1 species
GACAGAGGGUGCAAACGUUGUUCGGAAUUACUGGGCGUAAAGCGCGUGUAGGCGGCAGCGCAAGUCGGAUGUGAAAUCCCAUGGCUCAACCAUGGAAGUGCACCCGAAACUGCGUCGCUAGAGUCCUGGAGAGGAAGGUGGAAUGCUUGGUGUAGAGGUGAAAUUCGUAGAUAUCAAGCGGAACACCGGUGGCGAAGGCGGCCUUCUGGACAGUGACUGACGCUGAGACGCGAAAGCGUGGGGAGCAAACAGG